rnacentral:lncRNA from 1 species
GGGUGAAAGUCCAGAAAAAGCUCUUUCUCAAAACUCCCAGAGUCAAUUUGAGUUUUGGCCCCAAACCAGUCCCACACUGAACCAUUUGCCCCGGAGCUUGGGAAUGGUUGGAAGCACUUUUGAGCUGCACCCAGAAGGAAGCAGCAUUUAUCUAAAUUAAACCUGUGAAGUACUACUUAGCCCUGGGAGGGAACUUGAUUCACUUAUUCAUAAACACUCACUCAAUUAGCUCACUUCCUACGCUUGGACAGGCAUUGAGCUAUGUCCUGGUUAGAUAUGACUGAAGGCCCAAGUUCCUUCCUUUAAGGAAUCUAAAUUCAGGGUAGUAGCAGACCAGGAAAAGAAACAUGCCGUGCACAUGUCUCUCCAAAGCUGACCACAGGGUACUGAAGGAGCGCCACAGGUUAGUGCAUAUUGAGUCUGAGCUCCAGAUUGCCACCAGGUUCACCUGUGAACAAUUAAGUUUCAGGGUCCAAUACCAAAGCUUUUGUCUGCUCUGAGGUGUCAACUGCCUGUGACCUGAAGGGAAGAAAUCAAAGACACUAACCUCUGAUGCAUAGGAGAACAAGUAGAUGAUGAUAACAUCAAUUAAUUUAUUCCUGGAAAGAAUUGCAUAGUGAUGAGCAACUUGUUUUGCCUGCUAACACAUAUGGAUGAUGGGAAACAGUGUCCUACUUGUUAGCUUCUCUGGUGUUUUUGUUCAAAUCUGCAUUUCUCAUGGUUUCUUUUGAGCUAUGACCACAGCACUCCUUAAAAACAGCUGCGAGUAUGCUGCAGAUGGCUAAUCUCCAGCACAUUGGUAUUUCUGCACAGAUUAGUGGGCAGCUGCUACAAGUAGGAAGCGAUGCUUUCCUGGUCUGACAUCUCAUGCCCCUUUGUCUGUGUUGUACCAUGGCCUAGUAUGCCAUGUCCCUGUCUUCCAACUUCUCUGCCUAGCUUCUGCUUCAGUGUCCAUGUUUCAGUGUCAUGUCCUCCAUGAUGUUUGCUUCUUUUGUUCUUUCCUGACCCACAACACGUUCACAAGUCUUUCUUUGCACAUGUUCCAUUGCUUUUAACACAUAGACUCCAUUGCAGCUCCUUUCAGAUUAUAUCCCAAGUCACUAAUGUUCUUUCAAGGCAGAACGGAGUCCCACAAAGACAGCGUCUGCAUAUCUUUCACCUCCAAGCCAAAGAGACUGAC